rnacentral:rRNA from 1 species
GACGUAGGGGGCCAGCGUUGUUCGGAAUUACUGGGUGUAAAGGGUUCGUAGGCGGUGCGGCAAGUUGGGAGUGAAAUCUCUGGGCUUAACCCAGAGGCUGCUUCCAAAACUGCUGUGCUUGAGUGUGGGAGAGGCGCGUGGAAUUCCUGGUGUAGCGGUGGAAUGCGCAGAUAUCAGGAGGAACACCAAUAGCGAAGGCAGCUCGCUGGGACGGUACUGACGCUAAGGCGCGAAAGCGUGGGGAGCGAACAGG